rnacentral:rRNA from 1 species
AUUGAACGCUGGCGGCAGGCUUAACACAUGCAAGUCGAGCGGUAGCACAGGGGAGCUUGCUCCCUGGGUGACGAGCGGCGGACGGGUGAGUAAUGUCUGGGAAACUGCCUGAUGGAGGGGGAUACUACUGGAAACGGUAGCUAAUACCGCAUAACGUCGCAAGACCAAAGAGGGGGACCUUCGGGCCUCUUGCCAUCAGAUGUGCCCAGAUGGGAUUAGCUAGUAGGUGGGGUAAUGGCUCACCUAGGCGACGAUCCCUAGCUGGUCUGAGAGGAUGACCAGCCACACUGGAACUGAGACACGGUCCAGACUCCUACGGGAGGCAGCAGUGGGGAAUAUUGCACAAUGGGCGCAAGCCUGAUGCAGCCAUGCCGCGUGUGUGAAGAAGGCCUUCGGGUUGUAAAGCACUUUCAGCGAGGAGGAAGGUGGUGAGCUUAAUACGUUCAUCAAUUGACGUUACUCGCAGAAGAAGCACCGGCUAACUCCGUG